UGAGGUGCUGCCAGCAUGCCAAGAGUUAUAGUAACAGGUCCUUAACCAACCCCGUCCCUAGACUUUUCAAAGCUGUGCUUAAGGAGUCUGGUGUGGCCAUAGUACAAGGCAACAUCCAGAAGGAGGUGAUGUUGAAAUGUGGGUAGUGAUAUCUCACAGCCUUCCUUUGCUUAACGGAAAUCAUUUUUAAAAUGCUCAGGGUCCUGGUUGGGAAAUGAACAUCAUGGAAGAGGUUUAAGUGCCAGAGGGAGUGAGGUCCUGACACUUUGGUGCUGUUGCCAACACUUAUUUUAAAAAGUCAAGAUGAUGUGGUGUCAUCUUAUUGGCUACCAUCAUUAUCUUCACAGCUCCCAUGCACUGAUAUGAUGGGCUAAAUAUGACAUGAUAAUGAUAAUGAUGAUGCUGAUGUGAUGAUGAGAACAGUGAUCAUCUGAACUCCUGGAUGUUCCAUCUUUCCAUCAGAUCCCUUGCCUGAUGUCUCAAAAUUAAAAUUUAAAAACUCAAGAUUGGGAACAAAGGCGGUGAUUCCUGCCCAUUCCCUCCCUGCACCACAAGCCCUGGGUCAGUUAGGACAGAGGAGGAGCCAGAAACAUGAAAGCUUCACAUGUGAGAUAAAUGCACUCAAAGACGCCUCACAAGUAGCUCUUUGGCGCUUCAGAUGUAAAAUGGAUCACUCCUCAAUCUGUAAUAGACCCUUCCGUGGAGCUCUUCAAUCAAACCUCAGAAUUCAAGGCGUUUUGUAGCAUCCUAAACAGAAGGAUAUUGAAGGGAGCUGAUUCUGCUUUGAUCCUUGUGCUUGUUGUCAAAGCGCUUGGGAUUGAAGAGACUGUUGGCUACAAUUGACUGUGACAAUUAGGAGAUGAUCAGAGUCCUAGAGUGGAGCACUUAAAGGGUUUGCCUUUAGAACACUCUUGGAGCACUAAUGGUCUAAAAUUCUGGUAACUGCACAUUCUCUUUUUAGCGGGGUAAUGAGUGAAUGAAUGAAAAGGCAGGGAUUGCUUGCCAUUCUAAGUGGGAAUUGCCAGAAGAUUUCUACGUGACUGAGCUGUUUUGGAAGGUGAGCUGAAACAAGACUUGCAACGAAAAUGGAGGGACUCUGCGUGUGGUUGUCCGAUGUUUCUCCUCAGAGGGGAAUUCUGCAGAACUGAGCCGGGAUUGAGAAGUUGAUUUAAAUUUUAUUUAUAAGAGAUUAUUUAGGUGAAUCAGAUGAAAACAUUUGAAAGUAUGUAUAUUUGACUCUUAACAAGUACAUGGGAGUCUUUUGCAAGCUCAUUUGAAAUUAUUUGAAAUGAGUUUCCCUGU